rnacentral:tRNA from 1 species
UAGGGGCUAGCCAAAGUAGGUAAGGCUUUAAGUUUUGAUCUUAAUUAUUGUGGGUUCGAGUCCCGUGCCUCUAU